AGCCUAACACUCCUUGGUCCUCUCAAUGCUCUCCCACACCAUAUCCUGUGACAACUUUACAUCAUCCUCCAUCCUAGUGGGAUUUCAAUACCUCAGGGAAGUUAUGACUUACACUGAUGGUUACCAACAACUGUUAUAAAGGUGUCCUUGAGAAAAGGGCACCCCCAGAUUACCUCAGUAGCUAUGGCAAACACCCUGCUACUGAAGUGCAAGUCAAGACAGAAUGACUAACUUGCAGCAAAAGGGAAGAUAUGAACAAGAAUUGCCCAGGUUAGGUAGUCAUGGAUAAGUUAGAAUCUUUGUCACUGGAGAAGAAAUAUGCAACAAUCUCAUAGACUACAGAUCCACUGAAGUAUCUGCAUAUUCCUAGCACCUACUGUCCUGGCUUGUACAUAGGAAGAACUUAAAAAAAGCUUGCUGAAGAUAAUUCUCCGUAGAGCACCCAAUAUGCUUGAAGCCUUCCUGUGAUUCUUUUCAUAUUGUGGUUAUCAGUACCGUGCUUGAGCUCAAUGUUGGCUGUCCCUUGUUUUCAGUAGAAGUGGCCCACUUCCUUUCCUAGUUAUAGUGUGAAAGGAUAGGCUGUUGUAUAUGGAUUGAGGAAGAACUGCGUUUGAAUCCCAUUGUUUAUACUUACAAAUAAAUGUGACUGGGCAAAUUA